UACGUAGGUGGCAAGCGUUGUCCGGAUUUACUGGGUGUAAAGGGCGUGUAGCCGGGUUGACAAGUCAGAUGUGAAAUCCUGCGGCUUAACCGCAGAACUGCAUUUGAAACUGUUGAUCUUGAGUACUGGAGAGGCAGACGGAAUUCCUAGUGUAGCGGUGAAAUGCGUAGAUAUUAGGAGGAACACCAGUGGCGAAGGCGGUCUGCUGGUCAGCAACUGACGGUGAGGCGCGAAAGCGUGGGGAGCAAACAGG
rnacentral:rRNA from 1 species